CCUACGGGAGGCAGCAGUGAGGAAUAUUGGUCAAUGGGCGCUAGCCUGAACCAGCCAAGUAGCGUGAAGGAUGACUGCCCUAUGGGUUGUAAACUUCUUUUAUAUGGGAAUAAAGUGCAGUAUGUAUACUGCUUUGCAUGUACCUUAUGAAUAAGGAUCGGCUAACUCCGUGCCAGCAGCCGCGGUAAUACGGAGGAUCCGAGCGUUAUCCGGAUUUAUUGGGUUUAAAGGGAGCGUAGGCGGGUUGUUAAGUCAGUUGUGAAAGUUUGCGGCUCAACCGUAAAAUUGCAGUUGAUACUGGCAUCCUUGAGUACAGUAGAGGUAGGCGGAAUAAGUUAAGUAGCGGUGAAAUGCUUAGAGAUAACUUAGAACUCCGAUAGCGAAGGCAGCUUACCAGACUGCGACUGACGCUGAAGCACGAGAGCGUGGGUAGCGAACAGGAUUAGAUACCCUAGUAGUC
rnacentral:rRNA from 1 species